UGUUUUAAUGGUUAGUUUUAUUUUGGUAAUUAUUUGAAUAGUAGGAUUAAUUAAUAAAUGGGCACGUAUUUUUAAUCUCGUUCGCAUGGAAAGAUUAGAGCUUGGACUCGAGCAACCCAUUUUUAGGCCUAAUUUUGGACCUAGCCCAUAAUUCCUAGGCCCAUGCUCCUAACCUAAUUCCUACCCCUAUAUAAUAAUACCUAAUCCCAAAUAGAAAAAAACAAUACAACACAUCCACCGUUUGUAAAAAGGGACCUUCUGCCCGUCUUCUUCUUCAUCUUCAUGGAGACGUUCUAGCUCAAAAAGAGAAGGUAGUGAAACGCGGCAACUGCUGCCCAGAAACCACCCCAACUUCACCUGUUAAACAUCACUGAUCAACUUAUUAAAACCCAACACUCAAAGGACAUCCGCCAUUUUUUUUGGGAACAAAUGAAGAAGGCUUAAAAAACCUUUCAGCUGCUAGACGCAAAGAAGACAGACCCUUCCCCUCGUCCCCGUUUCUUCUACUUCACUUCACACCACCAAAUCUCCAAAUUUCAGAUACCACUCAACCUCAUCAAACCUUCAAUGGCCAGAUCUUCUAUUCUCUGAUUUUUGGAGUAACAAGAAAAAUAAAAUAGCCACCCAAAGCCUACAAAACGUAGCGGCUUCGUCCCUGUUGAGUCGGAUUUCUCGAAAGUUGUCGAUGUUAUUUUUUCGUCGUGGUUCCGUUGCCGGCGAGCUCUAAUACAAGUUGUUCCUGGUCUGAGACAUUAUCAGAUGCAAAUAAAUUGGUUAUGGAGUUGAUUCCUUGAGGUCUUCUUCUAAUCUCUUUUUUUUAAUUCAUUGCUCUUGUGUGUAUAUGGAGUUUCUUCAAGUAGUUAUGUGACAUGGUGAUAUAUCUGCUUGCAUUCUUUUAGCAUGGUUUUAAAUGAAUUAUGUUUGUUUACUAUUUUAUAUAAGCUAGUUGCAAGUGUAUUUAUUCUUUUGGAUUAUAUAAGUUAAAAAUAAAAUAAAAAAGAGUAUCAAUUUUGCUCGUAAUUUCAGUCCUGAGUAUUUUAUGUGUACAAGCGUGUGUUAUUUUAUUUCUCAACCUGUUUGAAGCUCGACAUGCUGCAAGUUUCGUAUACUCCAAUAGCAUCAAGAUACCAACCAUCGAGUAUUCUUCAUUCAUGAUUAAAUUUAGAACGUAUUUUGCAUGCCCACAUUUUGAACUCUCAGUGUGGUUGCGGAACGACAUAAAAUUGGGUUUGCUCUCGAAGUCAGUUUGCGGCAGCCUAUGGGCAAUUAAAAAUAUUGAAUUUGACAUGUUCUUUUUUUAAUUCUUUUCUCUGGUUACUUGGGUAUGAAGGUCUCAGAACUUUAGCAUAAAUUUGAUAAGUGGGUUGUAGGAAUUCUUGUAGACUUGAGUUGCUUUUAUCAACUAAUGGUUUGUUUGGUUAAUAUUUAAGCUAGUUGGGGCGUUUAAUCUCAAGUGGAGCCAAAGAACAAUUCAAUAAUGAAUAUUCGUGAAAAAGCCUUUAGGCGCGUUUAAUAUACAAUUGUGAUUGUGUACACAUUCGCGUGACAUGAUUGCAAUUUUAAAAACCAAUUCUGAGUAUGCGUUCGCGCAACUUCAAACAAACUUUCUUAAUAAUAAAAUUGAUUUUCAUAGGCUACUAAUAGUCCGGGGUGUGCCAUCCACGACUUAAUCAUACAUGGCCCUCGUAUUAAUUUAGAUAUAAAACUGAAAAAUGUUCGUAGUUUGCUUUAGGCAUGUUUAAUACACUAUCGUGGUUGUGGACACGUUCGCGUGACAUGAUUACGAUUUCUAAAACAAAACCGGAGUAUGCGUUCGCGCAAUUUCGGCCGAAUUUUCUAGUAAUAAUAAAGUGUUAUUAAUUGUGGACAUGUUCGCGUGACAUGAUUUUUUGACGUGCCAAACGAAAUGAGUUCACGUACGUGUGGCUCCUUUUAAGGUGAUUUCAAAAUUACGAAUAAUCGAGAAACUAAAGCAGUUAAAGAAAUAAAUGCACAUAGGUCCUAAAAAUGAGUAGUUAAACAAUUAAAGUCAAGUAAUAAUUACUAAGCGACCGUGAUAGAACCACGGAACUCGGGAGUGUCUAACACCUUCUCCCAGAUUAACAGAAUUCCUUACCCGGAUCUCUGUAUUCGCAGACUGUAAAUAGAGUCAGUUUUCCUCGAUUCGAGAUUUAAACCGGUGACUUGGGACACCCUAAAUUAUCCCAAGUGGCGACUCUGAUUUUUAAUAAACAAACGAUCCCGUUUUGAUUGUCCUUUAGUUGAAAAAACUCCCUUGUAUUUAUACCCUUUACGGGGUGUAGUAAAAAGGAGGUGUGACAUCUCUUCAUAUUCAAACAAAUCAGCCCUUCAGCUAAUUCAACAAAAGCAAUUACGCGAGAUUCUACACCUGAUUAAACCAUUUCAAUAACAAAUUACACCUCAUGAGACUUCUAAAUAAGUGAAUCUAAACUUGAACAAUAGACUCAUAUUUAACAUGUUUACAAAUAAUCAAGGUAAUUCCAUAUACGUCUUAGACCCUGAAGUGACGAGCCGAAAUAUUUUUCUUGUCCAAAAUACUAUAAAACUGAAUACUAGCUUAAAACCUGUCCAAUCAGCCAAUUCAUGAAAACCAAAUACUAUUUAAGUACAUCAAGCCUGCCGUGACAGUUCAAAUAAAUUACGCAGCAAAAGAAGCUUUCAUACAGUCCACAUUACUCGAUUUGCAUGAUUGAUGGUAAAGUAUAACUACUGAUUCGACUAAACAAAUUAUUCAUCAAGCUUCUAUGACAGUCUAGGAUCAGAUUCAGGGAUAGGAGUUCAACAUGCCCAAAACCAACAUUUAACUAUGAGACAUUUGAUAGAAAAUGGAGUCACCCACCAAUUACAAACAAAUUCAGCUCUCAGAAGGGUACUAUCAACAACCAGAAGAAUACAAUGCACUAUAUGAUUCCAAAAUAAGGCAAUUAAAACAAAAUAAAGCUAAAUCUAUGAGCAAACAAGGUGACAUUAUGCUCAAAUUUCCAGAUUUUCAUUUCAUCUUUGAAUCAGGCCUCACAUUAGAUAGAACUCAGAGAUUAUGUACCUGGGAAUAAGAGGAAAACAAGAAGGAGUAAGGAUCAAUAGGCAGCAGCAACAGAACAAAGUCCCAAACUCAGCAGCAGAAUAGUGAAAUCAGCUCAAGAAUAAUCAAUGAAAUAGUAACCUUGACCCAGAACUCAACCUCAAACUUUAAAAGAAGAAUAAGUUCAAGCCAUCUCAUACACCCAUUGAACCACAGAUUGCCUUAAGCAAGUUGGAAUCCAAAAAAAUCAGAAAUGUAUUCAAUGGAACAGUGAUUUUUUUUCAAAUUUUAGUUGUUCUCUUUUCUGAGUUUCUUAGCUCUCUCCCCUCUGCCUUGAAUGAUAAGGAAAAGAUGCCUUUAUAGGAAAGCAAGUAGGGAAACCUAACUAACCAACAGAUUUGUACUUCGACCCUUUUUGAAUUUCCAUUUUAGCUUAGACACCCCUAGUUUUAAUUCAGUUUUUUGCAAAGUAGUCCCCUCCCCAGCUUCCUAGAAGCUUCCUUGUUCAGUUAUUGAAGAUUCCCCAACUUAGAAUUCCUAAAAUAAUCCCCCAAACCCCCCAUUUUUCUUAGGAAACCAAUGGGUCAAAUUAACCCAAUGGUUCAAACCAGACCUCUUCUACAAGAUCGGGUUGAAUCCUUUCUCCUGGGCCUCCCCUCCGUCUAACAGAGCCCACAUAGAAUCGUUGGGCUAGACAGAAUUGCCCGAGAGAAAUUCAGAUGUAUAAAGUGUGUUAAAAGUGAGUAGUAUUUUGAGUAACUUGAGAUAAUUCUUGAUGAGUAAAUUCAUGAAGUUGAGAGGGUAAGCAAAUUGAAAAAAAGAAUUUGUCGAAGUUUGAUAUUUUGGAAAAAAAUAGGGCCCGAGUUAUAAUACUCGUUACUUAUGGACUAAUGUUAUACAAGGUAUCACAUGACUAUGAUAGCAAGAUGUAUAACGUGUGUUAAAAGUGAGUAGUAUUUUGAGUAACUUGAAAUAAUUCUUGAUUAUGUGGAUAAUUGGAUAAUUAUUGGUUAGUGGAAGAUUAACAAGUUAAUUAAGAGAUUAGUAGAUAAAUAUUAAAAUUAUGGAUAAGAUUAAAUGCCUCAAUGUGGCAGCCAAGGGAGUAGGUAAUAAGUGACUCUUAAGUCACACUUUAAGGUGGCAAAUUAGUGAGCUUAGUUGGCUUAGUCACCAUACAGUGUGGGGCCCACCUAAUCAUUAAGGAUAACAUUCCUAAUUAAAAAAAUUAUCUUUCAAGUCUCUUAAGAAAGGCACAUAUAGUAACAUUCCUUCUAAGAAUUCAAGCCAAGAUUCCUUCCAUUCUUAAUGUUGUUAUUUCAGCAAUAGUAACGUUCUUUCUCAGGUCAUUUCUCAUCUCUUAAGGAAAGAGGAAAGCAACGAUAAUUUUUCAAAUAGCAAUGUUAUUGCUUCGGGUAUUUCACACGAAUUGUUCCCUAUUUCGAUCUUGUGGCUUCGUGUUUCAUCACAAUUGGUGUGUGUUAGAAGGAUUGUCUAGAGGAUUGGCUCAGGUA
rnacentral:lncRNA from 1 species